UUUGAUUGCCAUAGCGUUGUGGAACCACCUGAUCCCAUGCCGAACUCAGAAGUGAAACGCAUCCGCGCCGAUGAUAGUGUGGCAGCUGCCAUGUGAAAGUAGGUCACAAUCAAAC
rnacentral:rRNA from 1 species